rnacentral:misc_RNA from 1 species
AGAGAGAGAGAGAGAGAGCAUUUUGGGAAUUUUCGCCACUUAUAUUUAAGAAACUAAAUACUUUAUAAAUGCUGAAAUUUAUUCAAUUUUAAGAGCCGGAUGAAUCAUUAAGGAAAAAUGAUUUAGGCAUAUAUAGAAUGAAUAUGCAGAAAGUUGAUAACAAGCAAAGCUGAUUUCCAAUCAAUUCUACCAAAAAGCAUUUCAAUAUAAAUUUCACCCUCAUAACAAUAAAAACAUAUUAUUUAAAAUUCAAGAAAACCAGCCCCAUAUCAUACGUCUAUCAACACCAGAACCAAAAUUCAACAGCCAGCAAUGCCAUCAAACAUCACACUAAACACCAUUUACCAGAACCAAAAUUGACACAACUUAUCCCUACAAUCCAAACAAAAACCCACGUAUUAAUUUCUAACGAUUAAACUCAAACAGGCAAUAUAAUUUCUGUUUAAAAUCCAUACUGUUUCACAAAGCUAAAGGUGCUCUGCUUUCUCUUGGCCUAUUGAAAUAUGGAUUGUUUUUGCUAGCUCUUGAGUACAGUGUAAAAAUUAAUCAAAUAAAACCAAAGCAUAAAAUAGGGACAGAUUUCAGAACUUACCCCACUGAGAAAAAUUGAAAUUGA